rnacentral:rRNA from 1 species
CGGACCGGCGCACGGUGAGUAACGCGUAUGCAACUUACCUAUCAGAGGGGGAUAACCCGGCGAAAGUCGGACUAAUACCGCAUGAAGCAGGGGUCCCGCAUGGGGAUAUUUGCUAAAGAUUCAUCGCUGAUAGAUAGGCAUGCGUUCCAUUAGGCAGUUGGCGGGGUAACGGCCCACCAAACCGACGAUGGAUAGGGGUUCUGAGAGGAAGGUCCCCCACAUUGGUACUGAGACACGGACCAA